rnacentral:tRNA from 1 species
AAUUCUGAUGAUGCAUUAGGAAGUAUUGAUCAGUUUAAAGAAGUGAUGAGUGCUGAGCGAUCUGACCUAGGAGCGCGUUCGAAUCGUGUUGACUUA